GAUGAACGCUGGCGGCGUGCCUAAUACAUGCAAGUCGAGCGAACAGAUGAGGAGCUUGCUCCUCUGACGUUAGCGGCGGACGGGUGAGUAACACGUGGAUAACCUACCUAUAAGACUGGGAUAACUUCGGGAAACCGGAGCUAAUACCGGAUAAUAUAUUGAACCGCAUGGUUCAAUAGUGAAAGACGGUUUUGCUGUCACUUAUAGAUGGAUCCGCGCCGCAUUAGCUAGUUGGUAAGGUAACGGCUUACCAAGGCAACGAUGCGUAGCCGACCUGAGAGGGUGAUCGGCCACACUGGGACUGAGACACGGUCCAGACUCCUACGGGAGGCAGCAGUAGGGAAUCUUCCGCAAUGGGCGAAAGCCUGACGGAGCAACGCCGCGUGAGUGAUGAAGGUCUUCGGAUCGUAAAACUCUGUUAUUAGGGAAGAACAAAUGUGUAAGUAACUAUGCACGUCUUGACGGUACCUAAUCAGAAAGCCACGGCUAACUACGUG
rnacentral:rRNA from 1 species